rnacentral:lncRNA from 1 species
ACACAAUCCCCGCUAUCUCGACUGUUGCUCUUGUUAUCCUUUGAAUCUUUUCACCAUUAGUGUCGAUCAGUUGUGAUCUACAAGUUAGCACUCUGACGCUCAAGUCAGCAAAGUCACCACACAACCAGCAUAAAUAUAAUCAGAAAAGUGAAAUAUACCUGGCUAGGUAUCCUUAUAUUUAUAGAUGUUAGAUUCUGUAACCGUUGUCAACUUUACCCGCAAGAUUCGCACCACAUUGAUAACCACUAACAACAUGCCCGUGAUUUUCGCCCCUACCUUUUUGUCAUUACAGUUGCACUUACCGAUCAUCUUCCUUCUCCUCCCAAUCGACCUUUUCUACUUUCCGAUCGAUCCUCGACGCUCCCCCUUCACUACACUACAUAAGCCCCCCAAAGCCCUGAGCAUUUGCUAAAGGCGAAAGGGUUAACCAAUACGCCGAAGAUGGGUGAAAUAGGAAGAGUCACGACGUUUCAACCCUACGAUCAGAAAGGCAUGAAAGGUUGAGAUUAGUUUAGCUAUCAUUCAAACCUGGGUUAUGAAAAGACACGUGUUAUCCGUCGUUGGAUUUGGUGAUAAUUAACGGUCACAAUGAAUCCACGAAACCGUCUUUUGCGGCUAUAAAUAAGGGAGGGCCCCUCGUCAUUCACCACCAUUAUCAAAUACAGAUCCUUCCAUUCCCGAUCUUCCGUUGUCUAUAACCGAUCUUUUCGCUUUUCCACCCGUUCGCUUUUCAUUCCAAAGGUAAUGUCUCUUUCCUCACGAUCCACCAAUAUGUCUAGAGACGAAGGUCAAGGGUAUGAUGACGAUGCGGCUGGUUCGUCCUCCUCAUUUAGUUCCUCAUCUAUCUUAUUUACUUUAAGAUCAUAAUGUUAACAAGGUUUGUACUGCCAAAAAUACUUACUC